GCCUGGACAUAGCAGUAAUUCCAGGACAAGACAGUUGGACAGCCCGCGGGGGUGGGGGUCAGGAGGAAUGGCUCCCCAGACUCCUGAACAGAGGAUGGUGACCCAAUCAGGGAACACGUCUCAACCCAACAUUGAAAGGACAAAGGCUUCCUCUUAAUUCUAUGGAUCAUGCAAUAGUCUUUCAAGAAAUUAUCUUCUGCUUAGCUAGUCACUUCCUGUUGCUAGAACCAUGAAGAGGCCUGGUGAAAGAUGUUCAGUAUACUACCUGCAUCAGCUGCUACUGCUAUGUGACAAGCAAAUUUUCCAGAAACACUGACAUGGAAACAGGAUCUUUCUUCUCCUACUGUUUGUUCCUCGACUACAGUUAUAAUCCUCUAUUUGUGACAUCAUAAUUAGUUGCCACUGGAGAAGACGAUCGUGUCACAAAAGGAUUAGGACCUAAGUCUUGGAGUCCAGCCACUAUGCUGUGGGGAAGCAAAGAAAGCUGUGGAGAGGCCACGUGGGGAGGAAUGCCAUCCUUAGCAUGGGCUGAGCUCCCAGGCAGCACCCAUCUCCAGACAUGCGAGUGAACAGGACUUCCGGCAAUUCCAGCCCCAGCCACUGAGUCACUUCCAGUUUCUCAGUGUUUCCAGGGGAGGCCUCAGACACUAUGGAGCAAAGAAAAUCUGACCCAGCUGUGCCCUGUCCAAAUUCCUGACCCAUAGAGAAUACAAGAGAGAAUAAAACGAUGUUGUUUAAACCAUUAAAUUUUGAAGAAAUUUGUUACACAGCAAUAGAUAACUGAAUACAGAGAGAGCUGUGAGAUAUCCCAUGUGGUUCCCCAGGUCCUUCUUUCCUGUAUGAGACAUACUUUCUGGCUGAGAGCAAUAAGAUGAGGUCUCUAAGUAAUGUUUGUGUUCAUCUUACACAGCAAGGAGUGUUUAUAUUAUGAGACAUCUCCAUUUUCUUCCAAGAUUGUUGCUGAGCUUAUGUGCCAUUUUCAAUUUUUAUGUGCCUCAUUUAUCCAUCGAUUCUACAUUUGUUUACCAUAAGCAGUUCUAGGCCAAGGAAAUCUUGCUAACAACAUUCCAUAAAUAAGGACUUUUCUUCUUGAAACUAUUUAUCAAGAGGUCAGUUAUCAGCAUAUUUACAAAUAAAUUAGACCAGGUCAUUUGUCCUCUUUCCCUACAAAUCCCCCUAGUGAUUGAGAGGAAAAUGGAUCAUAGGCCAGAUGUUUGAACCCGCUCCACCUCCUCUCCUCCUUCAUUCCAUUUUCAGCAAUCUCCACUGAUGGAGGCAAGAUGGCUGCCAUGGGCACCAGUCCCACAAUCUAUCUCUUAGUAGACCACUGAGGAAAGAGGAUGCCUCUCUCUCAUUCUUCCAGAAAAGGCCCCAGUGUAGCUCUGAUGGCUCUGAUUGACCUUUAGAACUGGUUCUACUUAAUCAGUUCUACUUAAACUACAUGGAUUAAGAAAAAUUAGGAUGUUAUAAGAAGGGAGAAUAAAUGUUGGAUUUGAAAAAAUAAAAUUAAUAGCUGACAGAUAUAUGUAUAUAUAGGUGGGUAUAUAUA
rnacentral:lncRNA from 1 species